rnacentral:rRNA from 1 species
AAGCCUGACGCAGCAACGCCGCGUGGGGGAUGAAGGUUCUCGGAUUGUAAACCCCUUUCGAUCGGAACGAAUCUCCUCCUGGUAAAUAAUCAGGAGGAUCGACGGUACCGGGAGAAGAAGCCACGGCUAACUCUGUGCCAGCAGCCGCGGUAAGACAGAGGUGGCGAGCGUUGUUCGGAUUUAUUGGGCGUAAAGCGAACGCAGGUGGUUUGGUAAGUCAGAGGUGAAAGACCACAGCUUAACUGUGGCACUGCCUUUGAUACUGCCUUUCUAGAGUGCAUGAGGGGGAAGCGGAAUCCCGAGUGUAGAGGUGAAAUUCGUAGAUAUUCGGAGGAACACCGGUGGCGAAGGCGGCUUCCUGGCAUGUAACUGACACUCAUGUUCGAAAGCGUGGGUAGCAAACAGGAUUAGAUACCCUGGUAGUCCACGCCCUAAACGAUGGGCACUAGGUGUGGGAGGUAUCGACCCCUUCCGUGCCGCAGCUAACGCAUUAAGUGCCCCGCC